UACGUAGGAGGCGAGCGUUGUCCGGAUUUACUGGGCGUAAAGAGCGCGCAGGCGGUCGUUCAAGUCGAGUGUGAAAGCCCCCGGCUCAACUGGGGAGGGUCACUCGAUACUGAUCGACUUGAAGGCAGGAGAGGGAAGCGGAAUUCCCGGUGUAGUGGUGAAAUGCGUAGAUAUCGGGAGGAACACCAGUGGCGAAGGCGGCUUCCUGGCC
rnacentral:rRNA from 1 species